GCACGCACAGAGCGCCAUCUUAGGGCCCACCCCCCUGUCUCUCUGUCCUCCCUCUCCUUCCUGGGCUUCUUCCUGCCUUCUCACUGUCAAGCUGCUGAAGUCUUCAAACAAGGAAACUCAGGAAGGUGUACACUUGCAUUUCAGAAGCUGCAGGAGUGUGCAGGUUGGACCAAGGGACGACAUGCUAAAGCCAACAUGUAGAUCAGAAAACUCUUUAGAAAAGUGUUCCGAGUCCACCACUUCAGAGGACUGACUAUCAGGAAAUAAAGUAAGGUUCAUGCCUAGAACCUCAGCAUUUCAGUUUUGGAGGCAAGAGGAUCUCAAGAAUUCAAGGUCAUCCUUGGCUCUACAGAUAGUUCAAGGCCAGCCUGGACUAUAUGCCUGCCCUCAAAAAAAAAACCACAAAAGCAAGGCUUUGCUGAUGGCUCAGCAGAUAAGAGUGCACAAGCAUGAGGAUGGGAGUUCAAGUCCCCAGCACCCAUAAACUUGCUGCUGCUAUGAUAACCUGCACAAGGUCAGGGUAGCAUGCUUGAUCAACAUUCUAAUAGAGGGUACUAGUUAGACUCAGUGGCAUGGGGGGGGGAGAGAGAGAGAGAGAGAGAGAGAGAGAGAGAGAGAGAGAGAGAAGAAGGAGGAGGAGGAGGAGGAGAAGCAGCGGCAGCAGCAAGUGAUAGGGGGGGUCUUGGCAACAAUGGGAGGAGCUCAGGAGGAGAUAUGAUUACAUUUGUUGGUUACACUUAUCAAAGAAUAAAUAAAAAGAUGUUUUAAGAAACAA